ensembl:snRNA U6 U6 spliceosomal RNA
UGCUUGCUUCAGUGCUAUUCUAAAAUUUGAAUGAUACGGAGAUUAGCAUGGCACUUUGCAAGGAUGACGUGCAAAUUUGUAAAGCAUUCCAUAUUUUU